rnacentral:rRNA from 1 species
CGGGUGAGUAAUGCGUGACCAACCUGCCCCAUGCUCCAGAAUAGCUCUUGGAAACGGGUGGUAAUGCUGGAUGCUCCAACUUGACGCAUGUCUUGUUGGGAAAGUGUUUAGUGGCAUGGGAUGGGGUCGCGUCCUAUCAGCUUGUAGGCGGGAUAAUGGCCCACCUAGGCUUCGACGGGUAGCCGGCCUGAGAGGGCGGACGGCCACAUUGGGACUGAGAUACGGCCCAGACUCCUACGGGAGGCAGCAGGC